rnacentral:rRNA from 1 species
GGCAGCAGUGGGGAAUAUUGCACAAUGGGCGCAAGCCUGAUGCAGCCAUGCCGCGUGUAUGAAGAAGGCCUUCGGGUUGUAAAGUACUUUCAGCGGGGAGGAAGGGUUCAGCUUGAACAGAGUUGGACUUUGACGUUACCCGCAGAAGAAGCACCGGCUAACUCCGUGCCAGCAGCCGCGGUAAUACGGAGGGUGCAAGCGUUAAUCGGAAUGACUGGGCGUAAAGCGCACGCAGGCGGUCAAUUAAGUU